GACGCCAACAUUCUAGCCCAAACUUUCCUACCCCCCCCCCCCCCUUUUUUUCCACCCUAAAACAUUCUUUACCUCGAGUACAUGCGAUCAAAAAAGAAUCUGGAGCAACAUAAACAGUACCGCAAGGGAAAGAUGAAAUAGAAGUUAAACAAAUAUUUAAGCACAAGACAGCAAAGAUUACUACUUGUACCUUUUGCAUCAUGGUCUAACAAGUCUAACCAGGCAAAAAGAUUUUUAGUCUGGCCUCCCGAAACUAGGUGAGCUACUCCGAGGUAACUUUAGAGUAAACCCGUCUCUGUAGCAAAAGAGUGGGACAACCCCCGAGUAGAGGUGAUAUACCUAUCGAACUUAGUGAUAGCUGGUUACUCAAGAAAAGAAUAUUAGUUCCCCCUUAAGGGGAUCUGAGCAUAAACCUCAAACAAGCAAAUUUAACCCCUUAAGAGCUAUUCAAUAAGGGUACAGCCUUAUUGAAAAAGGAUACAACCUAAAAUCCAGGUUAACGAUUGUACCCACCUAGACUAAGUUGGCUUAAGAGCAGCCACCUUUAAAAUAGCGUCAAAGCUUAUUCUACUAGAUUCUUCAAUCCCAACCCCUCCACGGAACCCGGUACCAGUAUUGAGUCACUCUAUAAUUUUAUAGAAGAGUUAAUGUUAGAACUAGUAACACAGAAUACCUUCUCUCCAUGUAAGUGUAAAUCAGAUUGAAUAAGUCACUGAUAAUUACCCGGCGAUGAAACUAAUGUAGCAACCUCACUAGAAAACUCUACAACUUCCUCACCCGUUAACCUAACACCAGAACAUAAAAGAAAGAUUAAAAGACAAAGAAGGAACUCGGCAAAUUCAAGUCCCGCCUGUUUACCAAAAACAUCGCCUUUUGAAUAUUAUAUCAGGUAAUGCCUGCCCGGUGACCAUGUGUUCAACGGCCGCGGUAUUCUGACCGCGCGAAGGUAGCGUAAUCACUUGUUUUUUAAAUAAAGACUAGUAUGAAUGGCCCCACGAGGACUUAACUGUCUCCCUUGUCCAAUCAGUGAAACUGAUCUCCUCGUGCAGAAGCGAGGAUUCUCUCAUAAGACGAGAAGACCCUAUGGAGCUUUAAACUAAAAUCAACUAUUAUUCAUCUACCCUCUAAAGACCCAAUAAAUAGCUAAAUAUGCUUGAUUUAAGUUUUAGGUUGGGGCGACCAUGGAGAAAAAGAAAUCCUCCCUGAUGACCACAAACCAAGAGUUACUACUCUAAGUAUUAAGACACUUAACUCUAAUUGACCCAUUUUAUGAUCAACGAACCAAGUUACCCUAGGGAUAACAGCGCAAUCCAUUUCAAGAGUCCCUAUCGACAAAUGGGUUUACGACCUCGAUGUUGGAUCAGGGCAUCCAAG
rnacentral:rRNA from 1 species